UCCGAUUCCCCAUCAAAUUCUUGAAGUAAUGUGCUAGAUUUUAUCUCAACAUCUGAUUUGGUUGAUUUUACAAGAAUAUUUAUAUGUGUGAAAUGGGAGGAGCAGGGUUGUGGGAGGAGUUUCAUUGACAGAGUGUGAUACGGACUAUUUCGUGAUCUGGCAAUGCAGGAUAUUACAUCAUAAAAAAAGAACAGGACAAUUAAUUACGCCUGCUAGUUUCGCAGUACCUACGAAUCAUUUAGCCGAAUAGCCGGUGUUAUUAUCGCUAUUAGUAUUAUGGAAAAAUCAAUAGAUGAUUUGGAUUGAUUUCAUUUUGGACAAUCGGAGGCCGACACGCAGUGGCAUUUUAUGGCAUUUUGCGAUACAUACAAUAACAAAUUUACAAUUUUUUGUAUUAGGAGAAUGCGGACUUGAUUUCCCUAAGCGAAACGCGAGAGGCUCAUUUGAAACAACCGUUUAUCUGCUGCAUGGGCACCAUUAAAAAUUCAAUCAAUUAUUGGCUAGUAAUCGAUCGGGAAAUCGUCCCCUGCGGAAAAUAUUUCGCCGAGGCAUUUAUAAAUUUGUUUUCGUCUUUUUAUAUCUUAAAUUUAAAUUAUCCACAAUAUUUGGCAGGGUUUUAUGGGUUUUUUGAGAAAUGUGUUUUUGAAAUCAAAGUUUCCUCUCCCGCUGUUACGGCAUUCCGUGCUUCCCUUGAAUCGUUACGUACUUUAGCCAUUAAGCCUUGAGUUUUGUUUACUGAUGACAGUUAGCAAAAUCAUUCUCCAAUGUAAUGGGCGCCCACACUUGCAAAUGAUUUUGCCAACUCUCUCAUCCAGUUUAUAAUCCCUUACCCAUGGAAGUAAUCAUGCAUAUUCAUGUUCUGGGUAAAAAUUAUUAUUAAGAAUGUUGCAUUGGUUUUUUUAUUGAUCAUUGGUGGUGACCCUUUAUGCUAAGGGUAUUCGAACUCUUAUUCUAGAACAGACAUGCUACUAUUAGAAUAGUUCCCUAUACUAUUAGUAGCAAGAACCAAAACGCUACUAGUUCGAAUACCCCUCGAAUACCCCCAAUAAGUAUGCGAGUGUAUCUAUCGAAUCGACACAAAUAUUUCUAUAGUUCGAGAACACUAAACGUAUUUUCUCACACAAAUCAGAUAAAUUAUUCAUUUAUUUAUCGGUACACUACUAUAGUUAUCAUUUUCUAUUUGCCACCAUCGUAGAUCACACCACUCGAGUCACUACAAAAACAAAAAUGAUUGGCCAUUUUUGGGAGGUAUAUCGUAUUGCUUUAUUACGUAUCCAUAAUAUUUCCUAAAAUUAUUUUAAAAAUUUGAUAACA